rnacentral:rRNA from 1 species
UACGUAGGGCGCAAGCGUUGUCCGGAAUUAUUGGGCGUAAAGAGCUCGUAGGCGGCUUGUCACGUCGGGUGUGAAAGCCCGGGGCUUAACCCCGGGUCUGCAUUCGAUACGGGCUAGCUAGAGUGUGGUAGGGGAGAUCGGAAUUCCUGGUGUAGCGGUGAAAUGCGCAGAUAUCAGGAGGAACACCGAUGGCGAAGGCAGAUCUCUGGGCCGUAACUGACGCUGAGGAGCGAAAGCAUGGGGAGCGAACAGG